rnacentral:lncRNA from 1 species
UGCCACAUUUGGUUAUUUUCGCUUUAUCACAAGCUGGGCCUGACAGCAAGGAACGGAAGCGCGCGCGCCCGCCCUGCGCUGGCUCUCCGAGGCGAAAAGGCACGUGCACCGCCGAGGUUUAUUAAUUACUAUGAAUAUGCAUUUGGGACACAAAAAGGAUAUCAAGAACAGUGUGAUAAACACUAAGAACUUAUCACCAGUUAAGCAAAUAGGUCAUGGCUAGUCCAACUUAAUCUCUCCUUCAAAGGUGACUAUAAGACUAAUUUUAGUGUUUAUCAUUGUUACCAG